rnacentral:rRNA from 1 species
UUUGGGUUGUAAACCUCUUUUCUCAGGGAAGAAGAUCUGACGACCUGAGGAAUCAGCAUCGGCUAACUUCGUGCCAGCAGCCGCGGUAAUACGAGGGAUGCAAGCGUUAUCCGGAAUUAUUGGGCGUAAAGCGUCCGCAGGUGGUUAUACAAGUCUGCCGUCAAAGCGUGGAGCUUAACUCCAUACCGGCGGUGGAAACUGUAUGACUAGAGGUCAGUAGGGGUCACGGGAAUUCCCAGUGUAGCGGUGAAAUGCGUAGAUAUUGGGAAGAACACCAGCGGCGAAAGCGCGUGACUGGGCUGAUUCUGACACUCAUGGACGAAAGCUAGGGGAGCGAAUGGGAUUAGAUACCCCCAGUA